rnacentral:rRNA from 1 species
AUUGAACGCUGACGGCACGCUUAACACAUGCAAGUCGAACGGUUUAUAGGGAUUCGUCCCUAUAGGCAGUGGCGGACGGGUGAGUAACGCGUAGGGAUCUGCCUUAAUGUGGGGGACAACCUUGGGAAACUGGGGCUAAUACCGCAUGAGAUUCAUAGCGAAAGUUAUGAAUGAAAGUAUGCUUUAUUGCAUAUGCAUUAAGAGGAACCUGCGUUGGAUUAGCUAGUUGGUAGGGUAAAGGCCUACCAAGGCGACGAUCCAUAGCUGGUCAGAGAGGACGAACAGCCACACUGGGCCUGAGAACGGCCCAGACUCCUACGGGAGGCAGCAGUGGGGAAUAUUGGACAAUGGGGGCAACCCUGAUCCAGCGAUGCCGUGUGUGUGAAGAAGGCCUGCGGGUUGUAAAGCACUUUUGUUUGGGAGGAAAAGCUGUGCAUGAAUGAGGUACAGCCAUGACGUUACCAAAAGAAUAAGCACCGGCUAACUCUGUGCCAGCCGCCGCGGUAA